CUGGGAGGAGCAGUGGGAGGAGGACCAAAGGUGCCUCAUGAGGGACAUUAGGUCGAGACUCCCACCUCCUAAGGAACAGGUGUCAAGGUCAAGACCUGGAGGCCAAAUCCCGCUUGUCGCAUGAUUUUAUGUGGCCCGUAAAGCAGAGGAUAUACAAUUGGCUGCAUCCAUCUUUGGACCUCCCUUCGGUUUCUCCAAAAGGUGAAGGUCCUCUUGGAAAGAUGGAGAUCCGAGAUACAUUGAUGCGAUUGGCAUCCUACGAGGGAUAUCAGAUGAGUAUACAACCUAUUCCCUUCCAGUCUCAAAGGACCUUAAGUGUGGAACAAACAUCUCCUCCAUCCUCCGAAAAGUCCAGCAGAGGAUGUACUUCUUGCGGUUUCUGAGGAAGCACGGCCUGUUACGAGAGCUAGUGAGACAGUUCUACACAGCGGUCAUCCAAUCAGGACUGUGUACCUCCAUCACAGUCUGGUUUGGGGCCGCCACAAAAAAAGGACAAACUCAGUCUGCAAAGGACAAUCAAAACCACUGAAUGGAUUGUCAGCAACACGCUACCCACUAUCGAGGACUUACUCACAACGCGAACUCGGUCUAGAGCAGGCAGGAUCCUUUCGGACCUUCCAAAUCCU